GAUGAAGAACGUAGCGAAAUGCGAUAACUAGUGUGAAUUGCAGAAUUCAGUGAAUCAUCGAAUCUUUGAACGCACAUUGCGCCCGCUGGUACUCCGGCGGGCACGCCUGUCCGAGCGUCAUUUCAACCCUCAAGCCCUCCUUCGGGAUGGGCCUGGUGUUGGGGCUCGGCCGCCAUCUCCGGCGGCCGUCCCCUAAAUACAGUGGCGGUCACGUCGCGACUCCUUUGCGUAGUAGAAACACCUCGCUCCGGAUAGCAACGCGGUCCACGCCGUAAAAUCCCCAAUUUUCAAUGGUUGACCUCGGAUCAGGUGGGAAUACCCGCUGAACUUAAGCAUAUCAAUAAGCGGAGGA
rnacentral:misc_RNA from 1 species